rnacentral:rRNA from 1 species
CCUACGGGCUGCACCAGUAGGGAAUCUUCGGCAAUGGACGAAAGUCUGACCGAGAACGCCGCGUGAGUGAAGAAGGUUUUCGGAUCGUAAAACUCUGUUGUUAGAGAAGAACAAGUAGGAGAGUAACUGCUCUUACCUUGACGGUAUCUAACCAGAAAGCCACGGCUAACUACGUGCCAGCAGCCGCGGUAAUACGUAGGUGGCAAGCGUUGUCCGGAUUUAUUGGGCGUAAAGCGAGCGUAGGCGGUCUUUUAAGUCUGAUGUGAAAGCCCUCGGCUCAACCGUGGAGGGUUAUUGGAAACUGGGGGACUUGAGUGCAGAAGAGGAGAGCGGAAUUCCACGUGUAGCGGUGAAAUGCGUAGAGAUGUGGAGGAACACCAGUGGCGAAGGCGGCUCUCUGGUCUGUAACUGACGCUGAGGCGCGAAAGCGUGGGGAGCAAACAGGAUUAGAUACCCGCGUAGUC